rnacentral:misc_RNA from 1 species
UAUCGUACAAAAUGUGCGAGGCAUGCAAGGGCUGUCGCUGACUCGAAGAGUCGUGCACGCCUCUGCUCUCGCAUAACAAUCCAUCUCACCCUUUGUGCAUCACCGCGUGGGCACACCCUUUGGGAUCGGACCGAUCUUGGAGGGGUCUCGCGUUUUCACACAAACCCCCCAUCUAAAAGUGUAGAAUGACCUUGUGUAUAUGCAAUAAAUACAACUUUCAACAACGGAUCUCUUGGCUCUCGCAUCGAUGAAGAACGCAGCGAAAUGCGAUACGUAAUGUGAAUUGCAGAAUUCAGUGAAUCAUCGAAUCUUUGAACGCACCUUGCGCCCCUUGGUAUUCCGAGGGGCACGCCCGUUUGAGUGUCGUGAAAUUAUCAACCUCCUUGGUUUCUUCUGGGAGACCGAUGGAGGCUUGGACAUUGGAGGCCUUUUGCUGGUGUCUCUCUCUCUCUUGAAGGCCCAGCUCCUCUUAAAUGAAUUAGCGAGGUCCUCUUUGCCGAUCCUCGACAUGUGAUAAGAUGUUUCCGUGUCUUGGUCUCUGGCUCUGUUGCUUUUGGGACCCGCUUCUAAUCGUCUCAACCUUGCAUCGAGACAAACGUCUGAGCGCGUGUCUCCCUUCUCUGGGAAACACCCUCGAUCUCACGAACCCUUG